AUGACAUUGACCGUUAAAAUGUCAUGUAGAACUAAAAAAAUAAAAAUAAAUCGUAUUUUCUCCCAUUUUUUUCAUAUUAAAUUAUGUUUCAUAGCUAAAUAUUUGAUAUUAAAUGAAAGCCCUGUUUCCCCUGAAUAAAAUGAUAUAUAAUAAGGGUGGGUGCAUUUACUAUGAAAGAGGUGAAUUACGGUUGGACAGACAUGUAGCGCAAAUGCCAG